ensembl:lncRNA novel transcript
GGGGGACAGUGUCUUCAGCAAAAGUCUGCGGAUAGAAAGGCCCCGCUCCUGUCCGGACAGCAGGAAUGGGAGAGCCGCCUCCAACCCCAGCCCCAUGGAGCAGGGCAGAAACGCUGCCCACUGCCCUGCUCCUGCCACCAGGAAGGGCGUGUGGGGGGCCACUUUCUGUAAAGAAGAAACCGCCUGAACAACAAGUGGCUCAAGGCACCCUUGUCUAACGACCAGGGACACUGAGCGCCAGGGCCCAAGUCACCAGCAAGAGAAAACCCAGGCGGAGCCCAGGGUGUCCCCCACUGCCCACCAGCCACUGCGGUCAACGUGAAGGGCAAGGGUGCAAGCGGGAUCGCGUCACAGGGAGCCGAGUGAGCCCAGAAAGUAGGAGAAGGACGUUUCCACCCACCUGGAGCGCAGUCCGUUUGCAGCCGGCGGCAGAAUGCUGCUGUCUCCAUCAAUAAAGUCCAUGUUAGCCACCUAGAGGAUAAAAUACCACGAGGAGGAGUAGCAAGGUGCCCCUGUUGACAGAUCUUGAAGCACAAGCUCACUCCCAGAAGCACAGCUGCCUAGUCAACAAACAGCUGACAAUACAUGUCUGAAGGAGCUCAGCUGGGAACAGAAGAAUGGCCCCACUGAGCCUAGCCUAAAUGGCGGACCAUCUCAAUUAUGAGCUAAUAAGUUUUGGAUGAUUUGUUAUGCUGCCAUACCUAACUAAUACAUGCACCCAGUGCAGAUUGGGUGUCAAGAUUUAAAGACAGUUUGAUUAUUAGUCACCUUCUAACAAUGGGCACCCUAAAGGUACUGACAUUUUUCCCGAUUUAAAGUUAAAUGUCUUGUAAGGCAAUGUUGACUGAUGCAGGAAUACUUGUAGACAUGUAUGCAUGUGAUUGGUGCUUAUAUGCACACAGUCCCCCACACCACAGGAAAAAACCGAUGACCAGAGCCUGACCAUUAUGGCCAAGGCCAAAUAGCCAAAGUUUGCCUUUAAUCUAUUUUCUUCAUAUCUAAAAAUUGGAGGUCAAUACUGUGGACAGGUCUGAAGACAUAGAGUUUUGUUCUCCUGUGGCCCCAUCAUUCUUCAGUGGUCUACCUGUGGUUAUUUUAUUCUUGUUACCUUCUGCUCUUUCUAUGACCACUAUCUGUUCCACCCUUGAAACUGAAGACAGAUGUUAGUAGAAAGAGGCUGUUCCCUCAUGUCGGGCAUGUGGGAUACGAUGAGGUUUCUCUUCAAAUAGCCUGAUCAAUCUUUUAUUCUUUAAUUCAUAGUACCCACACACACACCCCUUUUUUUCCUUUUUCUCCUUUUUCCUUUCUGCCUUUGUUAGAUGCCCAGGCACGCCACAGUACCAGGCAUUAUCAGUACCAGCUCACAUUUCUUCCCUUAUUUGGAAAGAGGACUAACUUUCUAGCUCAAUGCAGACACCCCUUCCCCUUCCUCUCUGCAUUCUUUUGCAUGCCCACCUUAUCUAAAAAAAUCAAAUGUUUAGCCAACCAGGAUUAGUUCAGAUUGUACGACCCGACCCUGGCCAAUGGGGAAAGGGUACAGGGGCAGGACUUGUGUCAGGAAUAAAGGCUCUUGUGCCCCUUUGUUCAGGUGUGCUCUCAUGGUGACUGGACAAGAACGCACCCCUCUGUGCAGAACUAAAAUUGCUUUGCUAGGAAUCCUUUGUUCGAGUGUUCAAUUUCCUUAUGAUUUUGAGCGUUAUUCCUAACAGGAAGAAAAGGGAUAUUCAGGCCUUUCACAGACCUGACAACAGAGCUGCACUUCAAUGUGACAGGUAUUGACCAUGUGUGACUCCUGGGAGCCUGGAAUGUGGCUGGUCUGAGCUGCAAUUUGCAAGAAAGGUAAAAUGCAGAGUUAGUUUCAAAGAUUUAGUUCCAUAAAUAUAAAAAUAUACAACAUAUAGAUAAAAAUAUCUAUAUAUAAUAUGGAUAAAAAUACAUAGCAUAAUGCAAUAUAUAGAUACAUAAUUAUGUUAUAUAUAAAUAUAUAUCUCAUUCAUAAUUAUACAUUGCUCACAUAUUAAAAUAAUAUUUUGGAUAUAUUGCUUUAAUUAAAUUGUUACAACAGACGGAUGCAGUGUCUCACGCUUGUAAUCUCAACACUUUGGGAGGCCGAGGUGGGCGUAUCACGAGGUCAGGAGAUCGAGCCAUCCUGGCUAACACGGUGAAACGUGUCUCUACGAAAAAUACAAAAAAUUAGCCAGGCAUGGUGGCAGGCGCCUGUAGUCCCAGCUACU